rnacentral:lncRNA from 1 species
AAGAAUCUGAGAUACAUCUGCAACCUACGCCAUAGUUCACGGCAACGCUGAAUCCUUAAGCCACUGAGCAAGGCCAGGGAUUGAACCUGCAUCCUCAUGGAUGCUAGUUGCGUUCAUUACCACUGAGCCAUGAUGGGAAUUCCUUCAUGUCUGUUUUUAUAACCCAGGGAGAGAAGAGGUCUCACAAUACACCUGCUGACCUGAUGAUUGGUUGGGGAAAGAGGGGUCUUAUGAUACACUUACUGGUUCGUUGGGGUCAUACAAGGCCCCUAUAGGGGUGGUUGAGAAAGGGGCCACAUGCCUUCCCUAGUAGGGGUGGGAAGGAGUAGGUCAAGUUGCUCAGGGUAGAAGAGGGGGCAUUACCAUGUUGCGGGAUGAUAAGGGUCUGGUAGUUCUUGUCUUGGCGGGAGGCUUUGACUUCAAUCUCCAUGAAGUGGCCUUGAAGCCCAAAGAUUCAUAUUGUGAUUUAUAAUGAGAGAUAUGUAUUUGCUCUUCGUUCUUGUUCCUGGUACAGAGCCCCUAAGACCCUUGAAAUUUCCUAAGUGAGAUGAGCAUAAACUUGUCUUCUGUUAUUGUAAUGAGUGAUUUUUGGCCCCCCCCCCCCCCCCGUCCCGCCCCGUAAGAAAGGUGGCUGGUUGCCAGAGGAAAUAUCACUUGAUUAGAGGAUUGAAACUUUCAGCCCCCCUGACUUCUGGGGGUGGGGGAGGGGCUGGAGUUUGAGUUCAUUGGUGAAUGGCCAGUGAUUUCAUCACUCAUGCUGUCCAGGUUGGUGAACCCUUGGAGGUGUGGGAGAAGUGAUGCUUGCUUGGGAAGGUAAGGAGGCUUUGGGCCCCUUCUCCAUACCUUGUCCUCCGGAUCUCUUCUAUCUGGCUUUUCCUAAGUUAUAUCCUGGGUAUCAAGUGGGAAUCUAGUGAGCAAAUGGGUUUCCUGAGUUCUGUGAGCCACUUUAGCAAAUUAAUGGAACGCAGAGCUGAGGUUGUGGGAACCUCUGAUCUAUAGCUUGUCCACUUUAAAAAAAUGCACAGCCUGCAACUUGAGAGUUAAAGUUUAUUUGGGGCCAAAUGAAGACCUACCGGGAGACAGCAUCUCAGGUAGCCCUGAGAAACCCUCACUGUCCUCCCGAGAGACAUAAAAACAAAUGCAUCUGAAAGUGGGACAAGGUGACGCUUCAAGGAGAAGGCAAACAAAGGGACUGAAUAGAGAGGCUUCCAUCGAGAAGGGGGAACUGAGAGAAGGCAGCUUCAGAGGGUCUCUGGGGACAGGAGGUGAGAAAGGCAGUUUGGGGGCAGAGUGGAAAGAUCCUGAAUGCUGGAUUUUUACAAAUGGAUUUUAAGUUGUGCCAAGGAAUUUGAAAGAGGGGAUUGUGCAAUCAGGACCCUCGAUUGGGAUGCUUGCUCUGGGGUGUUGCAGGAGAGGCUGGACAGGAAAUGGAUCAGAAAUUGGCAUUUUAACAUGUAAAAAGCCUAGGAGUUCCGGAUGUGGCGCAGCCAAAACAAAUCUGACUAGUAAUCAUGAGGUUGCGGGUUCGAUCCCUGGCCUCGCUCAGUGGGUUAACGAUCUGGUGUUUCCGUGAGCUGUGGUGUAGCCUGUAGAUGUGGCUCGGAUCCCGCGUUGCUGUGGGGUAGGCCGGCAGCUGUAGCUCUGAUUUGGCCCCUCACCUGGGAACUUCCAUGUGCCGUGGGUGUGGCCCUAAAAAGCAAAAACCAAACAAAAACCAAACAAAAUAAAAAAAAAAAAAACCCUAAACAUGUAAAACACCUAGAACAUGCAGUUGAAUGAUUCUGCUCUCAGUUGUAUUCUCAUGUCAGACAGAGCCCCUUGGCUUCAACAACAGCAGGAAGCGUGUGAAUACACAUGGAGAAAGGUCUGCUAUGGUGCAUAUACAGUGACUGAGGGGAGUCAUUGCCUUUCUCCUAAUUUUUCUGUAUGGUUUUAAGUUUUUCAAGCGAGCACAUGUCAUUACUUCUAGAGUCAGAAAAAAAGUAAAAUUAUUUUUAAAAAUAAUAAGAAAGCAUUUCUCCUGUGGUGCAGUGGGUUAAGCAUCCGGGGUUGUCCCUACAGCAGCUUGGGUCCCUGCUAUGGCAUGGGUUUGAUUUCUGGCCCGGGAAUUCCAUAUGUCAAGGGGAUGGCCUAAAUAGGUAAAUAAAACCCUUUCUUUUCCCUGGCGCUCUAAACGACAGCAUCUAAUUAAGUCACAGCCCGGGGUGCUGUGAGUGACUGUGUAAAUCCAUCAGUAACCCAGGCAACGCAAAGGCAGGGGACACUGUGUUCUCCAAGACUGGCCUAAGAGGUGCCCUUGGCUGGGGCUUCCGUGGGAUCCGUCUGAGGAGCUGCUGGCCCUGAGACACACUGUGCAUUGGAAGUCAGUAGGGGCCCUUCUCUUUUCCAGGAAGCCCAGGCUCCGAUGCCACUUGCCAUCCUGCUUCCCCGCGCCCCGCACCCACGCUAGCAUAUAUCCCGCAUUUCAUGUACAGCAUCAGUACAGAAAAGGGCGACUCACGAUGAUUUUAAUCAUCCCUCGUACCAUCCCUGAGCUCCUCUGACAAAACUUACAUUAAAGAAAAUUCAAGAGACACCCACCCUGUGUUUUCCUCUUUGAAACCCAGUUUAUUCACAUGGCCAUUCUCUCAUCAAAGCCACCCAGGGAAAGUUCCUUUCUCCAGGCAAGGCUGGACCAGGGAGGCCACAAGGGGUACGUCUUCAAAGAAGCCAGUCCCAAGUGAUUAUCUCUAGGAUGGAGAAAAAACAAGGCCCGGGAGUUCCUGUCACGGCGCAGCAGAAACGGAUCCGAUUAAGAACCAUGAGGUUGCAGGUUUGAUCCCUGGCUUCACUUAGUGGGUUAAAGAUCCGGUGUUGCCAUGAGCUCUGGCUUAGGAAUGCAGCUACAGCUCUGAUUGAACCCCUAGCCUGGGAACCUCCAUACGCCACGGGUAAAAGACAAAAGGCCAAAAAGAGAAAGAAAAAAGCCACAGUCCCAACAACAAGACUGUGGAGACGGACCGUGUUAGGGGAAUUCACAGGGGCUGGGGCAGCAAUGAGCAAAGAACCACCAGGGUUCUGGCAGAGGAGGUACCAGAGGGCUCGGGAGGUCGUCCGUCCUCAGGGAGGAGGAAAUUCCCCUCUACCCUUCUAGGUGCUUCUGCCUGGUCUGCGAAUUAAACUGGCAUCAGCGUGAUUAACAGGAGAAAACCAAGCAGACGUUUAAUAACAUGUACAUGGGAGAAACCGGAUAAAUGGACUAAUUCACCAACAUGCUGAAGUCUUCACGAUAAAUACCAUCUUCAGCUAAAGAUGAAAGAGGGUUGGGGUAGUGGCUGAGGACUUGGUGGGGGUCUGGGGGGGUGCAAUUCAUAUGAAGAUAGAAAAGCUAGGAGUUCCCGUUGUGGCUCAGCAGUAAUGAACCCAACUAGUAUCCAUGAGGACAAGGGUUCAAUCCCUGGCCCCACUCAGUGGGUUAAGGAUCUUGUGUUGCCCUGAGCUGUGGUGUAGGUCACAGAUGAAGCUCAGAUCCUGUAUUGCUGGGGCUGUGGUUUAGAAGGGCAGCUGCAGCUCUGAUUCCAUCCCUACCCUGGGAACUUCUAUAUGGGCAGGUGCAGUCCUAAGAAAACAGCAAAAGGAAAAAAAGGAAAAGCAAAUGUUUGGUAAAUAAAUGUUUGCUGGGCCAGGCAGAAACAGCAGGACAGAGUGGAUCUGAUCUCGGCCCCUACACGGACUGCACAGCCUUAGUAGCUGUCUCCGGUGACCGCUCUAUCCUAGCAACAGGCCCUCUAGCUAAAUUCUUUCAGGCAGU